GUGCCAGCAGCCGCGGUAAUACGAAGGGGGCGAGCGUUGUUCGGAUUUACUGGGCGUAAAGGGCGCGCAGGCGGCCAUGUUUGUCAGGCGUGAAAGCCCCGGGCUUAACCUGGGAGGUGCGUUUGAAACGGUAUGGCUAGAGUUCGGGAGAGGAGCGUGGAAUUCCCAGUGUAGAGGUGAAAUUCGUAGAUAUUGGGAAGAACACCGGUGGCGAAGGCGGCGCUCUGGACCGAGACUGACGCUGAGGCGCGAAAGCGUGGGGAGCAAACAGGAUUAGAUACCCUGGUAGUCCACGCUGUAAACGAUGUGUGCUAGACGUUGGGGAGCCUAGCUCUUCGGUGUCGCAGCUAACGCGGUAAGCACACCGCCUGGGGAGUACGGCCGCAAGGUUAAA
rnacentral:rRNA from 1 species